UGUUUUGAGAUAGAAAAAUCGAAGAAGAAACAGAGAACAGGGGAGAGAGAGAGAGAGAGAGAGAGAGAGAGAGCGCGAGAGAGAAAGAGAGGUAUAGAGGGACAGAGAGAAAGGGAAAUAGAGAAUUCGAUCGAGAGUCGGGAUGGAGUUUACCCGAAGCCAUGGGACCGCUGGACCCGGCGGAUUAUAAAAUGGGCAUGAUCGGCCUCUGGACCUGGCGGAAUACAAAUAGGGGCCCGAUCGGCCGCUGGACUCGGCGGAAUGCAAAUAGGGGCCAGAUCGGUCGCUGGACUCGGCGAAAUAGAAAAAGGGGCCCGAUCGGCUGCUCGACCGGCGGAAUAAAAAUUGAGGUCAACUCUUACCGCUAGAGGUUAAUAGGCGGCCCCUGCUUGUGAGACAUGGAUAUUGGGAGUUGAGGAUGAUAUGAAUGAGAUGUGCGGGGUCACGAUAAGCUUCUAAUUGCGUGGAAGAACUACUUUUUGAUAUCGGCGAUCAGCUCGGCAAGCUAGGUUUCACAUCAACGUUGAGUACACCAAAUGCAGAGUCAGCUACCGUGUCGUCGAAAAUAGGAGUGGUGAGUCAGAGUCAGCUACCACGUCAUUGAAAAUAGGAGUGGUGAUUGUACUUACUUUUUGCUCAGUGUCUCUGAAGCGGCGGAAGCAUCGCCGCUGUCCACCGACAUGUCCGCGACUGCCUUCGCCGCGUCGUCUGCGGAGCCACCCUCCAUGGUUCCGGCUGGUGCGAAAAGCAAAGAGAAAGGAUGGGGUCGAUGACGGUGGAGAAGAAGAUGGAGAACUGAUUCCUCGGAGAGUUUGCGUAUGAAUGAGCUCUAAUGGUAGUAGGGUUUCGGCUUAGGAAAGGGCAAAAGCGGCCUUAACCUUUAGCCGCUUUUCCGUUUUCAUCCUAAGCCUUUUUCCUUGUUCGAUUUUUUCCUAAACAUUCCUCAUUUUUUCACUUUCGUCCUACUGCCUAAUUUUCCGUCGAAACUAGGUUCUUCUUUUUAUUUUUUAUUUUUUUGUUUAAAAAAUAAUAUGAAGAAAAUUUUACGAAAUGAA